ensembl:lncRNA
UUUAUUCCCCAGCACCCCGGAAGGCCUGGCUACCUUUCCUUAUUCCUUCUCCACAGGAUGUGGGAAUCUGAAAGGGAGCGACGGUGAAGGUCCGGCUGCUUUUCCUCUUGCUGGACUUAGAGAAACUCCUGUGCCGGUAGAAAUCCGAGCUAGACAUGGGGAUGCUGAUGAACAUCCCAGAAAACUUGCGACUGGGGCGUCUUUUAUGGUGGCCUGUGUUUGAAGUGCUCUGGGGCACUAGUUCCAGCUCGAGAUCAAGUGGCAUAAAGCUGUGGUUAGACCCGCAGAUUUCUGAGUGUUAGAGACAGAAUGCUUGUUCUUAGGUACUGCAAGGAAAAAUCAGCAUUCAGACAAGUUUUAUCAGCAAGGCAGUUUUGCUUUCUGCAGAAAGGGUACUGCUUGUCAGCAAUGUUGCUACAAGAGCACACUGAACAAAGGAAAGGCAGGAAUAUUUAUUCUUUGCAUGUUGGGUCUUUACUGCUGUGUCUUGUCUCCUGGUUGGAGCUGGACUUCACAGUCUAAGCCAAACUCGAUUGGCUAACAACUUAAACCUUUCUUAAGUAGGUAAAAGCAAUGGAAAACAAAGGAAAAGAGGAAGUUGCUUGUGAAAGGACUUAGAAGAGGAAUAGCAUUUCUAAACAAGGAAAGGGCAAAGGCUGUGAGCUGGGAGGUCCUUGUGAGUAUGUCCAGCACAAAUGUCUUGGUUAAAGCACAAGGAUAUGGAAGGUACUUAUUCCCCUAUUUCUAGCAGCUACAUAGGACAGAGCUUAACAGAGAGUUACUAGCAAAAAGAAAGAAGGCUUUGAAGAAAGUCUUUAAAAGAAACUAUUAUUUCUGACAUUUAUUAUUCUUUUCUCACUUGCCUCACUGCGCACUGGUCCUGGCAAAGGCCUGGUGCUGUGGACGUCGCGGCUGCCUGGUUUGAACGUCCGGGGAUUACAUCUGUUUAUAGACCUGGAGAUGGUACAGCUCGUGUACGUAAAACAUCUUCUGAGGACAUUGGUGUACGGAUUGGUAUUCCUGUAGGGAGGACCACCCAGCUGUCAGCUUCGUCACAGCUCACGGUAAUCACAGCUCUCCUGGCUUUAGAUCUGUGGAGUGUGGAACAGUCGAAAUUUAAGUCUUCAAAACCUGCAUGUUCAGAGCGUCAAUAUCAUCGGUGUCCUGUAGUUUUGAUGGUAUUGCUGUUCGCUUGCUGCGCCGUGAGAGAGAAGCAGAGGAAACAGUGUGUGAUUAAGCCCGUCGGUUAUGACAAGGUAAGAGAAAUAACUUGGGGGAGGGUGAAAAUCGCACUCUGGUUCAAGGCCGUUUGGCUGAGGCACUCAGGAAAUGCACUGAUGCAGACCCAGACUCCGCAGGACAAACUCUCCUGGGUAUACAUUUGAUUCCUGAGUCUGCCUCUGACAUGAUGAGGAAGUCAGAAAAAGCAGAAAUGGGACCUCAAACCCCUGUGAGCAAACUCCUAAACACAGCCUUCAAUGUUUAUAGCAAUGGGAACAGGGCAAAAGUGGCAGAAAUAAACGCAAGACAAACAGCCAGAAUGUGCAAUUGCUAAUGGCUGCUGUAAGUGCCCUGCCCCUCAGCCUUGCCCGUCCUGACAGAGUGUCAUGAGGUGGGCAUCUGAGAUGCCCAGACACGAGCCCUGCCCCUCAGCCUUGCCCGUCCUGAGAGACUGUCAUGAGGUGGGCAUCUGAGAUGCCCAGACACGAGCCCUGCCCUUCAGCCUUGCCCGUCCUGACAGAGUGUCAUGAGAUGGGCAUCUGAGAUGCCCAGACACGAGCCCUGCCCCUCAGCCUUGCCCGUCCUGAGAGAGUGCCAUGAGAUGGGCAUCUGAGAUGCCCAGACACGAGCCCUGGGCCUGAAUCAGUGUGCCUGCCAUAAGCAAAAGGGCCAUUGGCAACAAGAAUGUCCUAACCAUCCUGGGUGAGAAAGGAAAAAGCUGCCUAUCAACACUAGAGCUAACCAUCUUCUGCUACCCCCACAGAGGUGUUUUGCUCACGUUGGUGUACUGGGGACCUCGGACCCUGGACCCGACGGAUGGCUCCCUGCGGGCAGACAAG